UACGGAGGGGACUAGCGUUGUUCGGAAUUACUGGGCGUAAAGAGUUCGUAGGCGGAUAAGCAAGUAAGAGGUGAAAGCCCAGGGCUCAACCCUGGAACUGCCUUUUAGACUGCUUGUCUGGAGACCGGUAGAGGUUAGGGGAAUACCUAGUGUAGAGGUGAAAUUCGUAGAUAUUAGGUGGAACACCAGUGGCGAAGGCGCCUAACUGGACCGGUACUGACGCUGAGGAACGAAAGCGUGGGGAGCAAAC
rnacentral:rRNA from 1 species